rnacentral:rRNA from 1 species
UACGAAGGGGGCUAGCGUUGUUCGGAUUUACUGGGCGUAAAGCGCACGUAGGCGGAUUGUUAAGUCAGGGGUGAAAUCCCGGAGCUCAACUCCGGAACUGCCUUUGAUACUGGCAAUCUUGAGGCUGGAAGAGGUUAGUGGAAUUCCCAGUGUAGAGGUGAAAUUCGUAGAUAUUGGGAAGAACACCAGUGGCGAAGGCGGCUAACUGGUCCAGAUCUGACGCUGAGGUGCGAAAGCGUGGGGAGCAACAGGG